rnacentral:rRNA from 1 species
UACGGAGGGUGCGAGCGUUGUCCGGAAUCACUGGGCGUAAAGGGCGCGUAGGCGGCCUGAUAAGUAGGGGGUGAAAUCCUGCGGCUUAACCGCAGGGCUGCCUUCUAAACUGUCAGGCUAGAGCACAGUAGAGGCAGGUGGAAUUCCCGGUGUAGCGGUGGAAUGCGUAGAGAUCGGGAGGAAUACCAGUGGCGAAGGCGGCCUGCUGGGCCACGACCGACACUGAGGUGCGAAAGCGUGGGGAGCGAACCGG